rnacentral:rRNA from 1 species
UGGGGAAUUUUGGACAAUGGGGGCAACCCUGAUCCAGCAAUGCCGCGUGUGUGAAGAAGGCCUUCGGGUUGUAAAGCACUUUUGUCCGGAAAGAAAACGCCGUGGUUAAUACCCGUGGCGGAUGACGGUACCGGAAGAAUAAGCACCGGCUAACUACGUGCCAGCAGCCGCGGUAAUACGUAGGGUGCAAGCGUUAAUCGGAAUUACUGGGCGUAAAGCGUGCGCAGGCGGUCCGCUAAGACAGAUGCGAAAUCCCCGGGCUUAACCUGGGAACUGCAUGUUGUGACUGGCGGGCUAGAGUAUGGCAGAGGGGGGUAGAAUUCCACGUGUAGCAGUGAAAUGCGUAGAGAUGUGGAGGAAUACCGAUGGCGAAGGCAGCCCCCUGGGCCAAUACUGACGCUCAUGCACGAAAGCGCGGGGGAGCAAACAGGAUUAGAUACCCUGGUAGUCCACGCCCUAAACGAUGUCAACUAGUUGUCGGGUCUUCAUUGACUUGGUAACGUAGCUAA